rnacentral:rRNA from 1 species
GACGAACGCUGGCGGCGUGCUUAACACAUGCAAGUCGAACGGAAAGGCCCUGCUUUUGUGGGGUGCUCGAGUGGCGAACGGGUGAGUAACACGUGAGUAACCUGCCCUUGACUUUGGGAUAACUUCAGGAAACUGGGGCUAAUACCGGAUAGGAGCUCCUGCUGCAUGGUGGGGGUUGGAAAGUUUCGGCGGUUGGGGAUGGACUCGCGGCUUAUCAGCUUGUUGGUGGGGUAGUGGCUUACCAAGGCUUUGACGGGUAGCCGGCCUGAGAGGGUGACCGGCCACAUUGGGACUGGGAUACGGCCCAGACCCCUACGGGAGGCAGCAGUGGGGAAUAUUGCACAAGGGGCGGAAGCCUGAUGCAGCAACGCCGCGUGCGGGAGGACGGCCUUCGGGUUGGAAACCGCUUUCGCCUGUGACGAAGCGUGGGUGACGGUAAUGGGGAAAGAAGCACCGGCUAACUACGG